GCAAGUCGAGCGCACCUUCGGGUGAGCGGCGGCCGGGUUCGUAACGCUUGGGAAUAUACCCUUUACUAAGGAAUAGCCUCGGGAAACUGAGAGUAAUACCUUAUACGCCCUUCGGGGGAAAGAUUUAUCGGUAAAGGAUUAGCCCGCGUUAGAUUAGAUAGUUGGUGGGGUAAUGGCCUACCAAGUCUACGAUCUAUAGCUGGUUUGAGAGGAUGAUC
rnacentral:rRNA from 1 species